UCCGCCCGAGAACUACGAGCCUACAGCUUAAAACUUAAAGGACUUGGCGGUGUCCCAUACCCAACUAGAGGAGCCUGUUCUAUAAGCGAUUAUCCACGAUCAACCUUACCACCCUUUGCCAUCCAGCCUAUAUACCGCCGUCUAAAGCUCACCUUAUGAAAGCUAAAAAGUAAGCAAAAUAGCUACUACAGCUAGAAAGUCAGGUCCAGGUGUAGCCAAUAGGGUGGAUGUAAUGGGCUACAUUUUCUAAAAUAGAAAUAUUCACGGACAGACCCUUGAAACAGGGACUAAUAAGUUGGAUUUAGCAGUAAUCUAAGAAUAGAAAGCCUAUAUUA
rnacentral:rRNA from 1 species